GACGAACCGUGCAAACGUUGUUCGGAAUCACUGGGCUUAAAGGGCGCGUAGGCGGGCGGUCAAGUCCGGGGUGAAAUCUUUCGGCUCAACCGGAAAACAGCUUCGGAGACUGGCCGUCUCGAGUGGGGUAGGGGCAUGCGGAACUUCCGGUGGAGCGGUGAAAUGCGUAGAUAGUCGGAAGGAACGCCGGUGGCGAAAGCGGCGUGCUGGACCCCUUCUGACGCUGAGGCGCGAAAGCCAGGGGAGCGAACGGG
rnacentral:rRNA from 1 species